rnacentral:lncRNA from 1 species
CUUAAAAUUUGUAUAUGUGGCUAAAAGUCUCCCAUGGUCCUCAGUUUCUUCUUUUUGUUGAUCUUCGUUCUUCCACUUCCUUAUGUAUCCUAAUUUCUAAGCUUUUCUAAAGCACACAAACAGAUCUAGGGCGUGAAUUGGUUUGGCGAUGUCUCCACAACCGCUGGUGGUGCCUAUGGUGGUGGAUAACACAUGUUUAAAUCAGAAACUAAAUCAAGUUAUCUAGGGUUUCUUUCUUCUAUGUACUUGUAACCACCGCAAAAGGUUCUAAUAUCUUAUCAGAACCGGCGAACAAGUAAGCUGUUACAGAAAUACAAUCUUAUUUUACAAUAUCAAUCGUUCUCAUGAUCUACUCUGCUUCCUGCAUCUAUUCGCUGACUAGAAGGCGUUUUUGAAGCAACCGAAAGUCUUCAUCUGUUCGAAGAAGAGAGGCAAAGGAAAAAGGUCUGGAAAGGGGGGAAAUAGUUUUGGAAGAGUAUUGGUAUUGGAUUUAACCUGAGAGAGGCUAUUAAAGUUUCAACGACUCAGACCAAAGCAACGUACACCUGCUGCUACCAGUGAUGUUCCUUCCACCGUUUUCUCUGCCCCAUCUCGUAGAACUCUAAGGGGAAAGCUUCUCUUCAACCCAAAAGAACUCAAAUCACGAGGAGAUUAAUGCUAUUGUGUGUGUGGCGAGGAUUAAGACUGCGGAACAUUUGUUUUUGACGUGUGGUUUCGCUCAAACGGUAUGGCAUUUAGUAUCACAAUGGUGCAAGCUCCCUCCAAUUUAUGCGUUCCAGGUAAGAGAUCUUCUUGAUUUGCAUCUGUACAUAGACGGGUCGGCGAAGUCUAAAAAGGUUAUUCAAGCUAUUUGCCACAUGGUUUUCUGGUGCAUUUGGAGGUGUCAAAAUGAAGUGGUUUUAAAUCAAGGGCAAACCUCGAUGCAGAAGAUUAUGGGAGAUGUAAAGGGGCUGUCAUUUUUGUGGAUUAAAGCGCAUCCCAAACAGUUGAACUAUUAAACUUUCUUUGCUAUCAUGUUAACUAACCUCCUUUGACUGUGGAUGAUGGUAAUCAUCUUUAUUUUAUGUUUAGACUUUUGACAUUAGUUUUUUAUGAAUGGCUAAAGGUUAUCAAUCGUUAUAGCAAAUUAAAAACAUAUAAUAGCCUAUGGUCACACUUUAAUUGCUUAAUGUGACCAGCUUUAAAUACCCAUAAAAUACCUCUUAAGAAAUCUUAACUUGCAGAGACAAGAUGUCUAUAUAACUCUGUAGGGAUGACAUCAAUAGAGACAACAUAUGCCCUUUUAUAGAUCAACCUACCCUAUAUGUGAUUCCAACAUUUUGAACUAUGCCAAGUAUAGAAAAGUGUGAUAAAUAGUUUUUUAUGUGUAGCUAAAGUUUAUCAAUUGUUAUAACAAAUUCUAAACAUAUGACUAUUAAUAGUUUAUCAACUAUCCCAGUACUAGUACUAGUACUGUUAUGUAUGUAGCUUUCGUAUAGAAAUUUUAUGGUAUAUACGUUUUCGACCCUCCGGUUCUAUAGAAAAUUUUGGGUAUAUACGUUUUCGACCCUUCGUUGGAAAUCUCAAGAUUCGCCAUUGACUACAUCCUUAAAAAUUCCUCUCAAAAUAUUUUAUCCAAAAAUAUAAACUUCCCACUAAAAUAUUUCAUCUAAUAAUUUAAACUUUCCCUCAAAAUAUUUUAUCCUAAAAGUUUCCCUUCAAAUAUUUCAUUCAAAAACUUCACUCUCAAAUAAUAUUUAUUUAAAAAUUACAUUAUU